rnacentral:lncRNA from 1 species
UUCUCCAGGAAGCUCAAAUGGCCUUCCACGUCCCCCGCAUAGGGGCCCAGCUUCUGCCUGAGCUGUUCCAUCUGCUGCACCAGGGCUUUGUUGAAGUUUUCCCCGUAGGGCUCCACCCGGCGUCGGAACUCCUCCACCUGCUGGUCCAGGUGCCCACCCAGCUCUGCCAGUGACUUCUGCAGCCCCUCGGUGUUGCCCAGCUCCUCGGCGUUCUUCUUCAUCUGGAAGGCCAGGCCCUCCAGCUGGUGGUUGAGCUUCUCCUGC